rnacentral:sRNA from 1 species
AGAGAGCAGCCGGGCUGCCAGCGUUUCAUGAUCAACAUGGGGGACUCCCACGUGGACACCAGCUCCACUGUGUCCGAGGCGGUGGCCGAAGAAGUAUCUCUUUUCAGCAUGACGGACAUGAUUCUGUUUUCACUCAUCGUGGGUCUCCUAACCUACUGGUUCCUCUUCAGAAAGAAAAAAGAAGAAGUCCCCGAGUUCACCAAAAUUCAGACAUCGACCUCCUCUGUCAGAGAGAGCAGCUUUGUGGAAAAGAUGAAGAAAACGGGGAGGAACAUCAUCGUGUUCUACGGCUCCCAGACGGGGACUGCAGAGGAGUUUGCCAACCGCCUGUCCAAGGAUGCCCACCGCUACGGGAUGCGAGGCAUGUCAGCGGACCCUGAGGAGUAUGACUUGGUAAGCUGCCACCGCGCGCUGGCCCCAGAUGAAGGCAGUGGGCAGGACAGGGAGCAGGUCUGUAGGGCGCCCCUCAGCAGGGGGAGGCCGGCAGGGAAUGGGGUCCUGGGAAGACGUCCUCGGAAGUUGCCUUCCCGUGAGGGUCAGUGCCAUCCCUGCCCGGGCUGACUGAAGGAAGGGCCAUUCCUGCAGUUGCAGCCACGUGCC